GGAUGUGAGGGAGAUCUGGCUUUGGUUUACAUCAUCAUGUUGAUCAAUUAUCUCACUGGCCAGGAAGGUGGUCCGUGCUUCCUUAUUUCUCCAAAUGCAUCUCUCCCAAAGCUGCUCACGCUCCAGAAGGAGGUCAGGGCUUUGUUCAAGAAUAUAUGAGAAGUUUCAUUCCUCUAGCAGAGUCUCCAAAAAAACACACUUUUUGAAUGUGAUUAAAUCAACAGACUAGACCAGAACAUCU
rnacentral:snRNA from 1 species